rnacentral:rRNA from 1 species
GAUGAACGCUGGCGGCGUGCCUAAUACAUGCAAGUCGAGCGAACGGACGAGAACCUUGCUUCUCUGAUGUUAGCGGCGGACGGGUGAGUAACACAUGGAUAACCUACCUCUAAGACUGGUAUAACUACGCGAAACCGGAGCUAAUACCGGAUAAUAUUUUGAACCGCAUGGUUCAAAAGUGAAAGACGGUCUUGCUGUCACUUAUAGAUGGAUCCGCGCUGCAUUAGCUAGUUGGUAAGGUAACGGCUUACCAAGGCAACGAUGCAUAGCCGACCUGAGAGCGUCAUCGGCCACACUGGAACUGAGACACGGCCCAGACGCCUGCAGGAAGAAACGGUCGAGAAUCUUCCGCGAUGGAGGAAUGCCGAACGGAGGAACACCGCCUGAGUGAUGAAGGUCUACUGACCGGAGAGCGAUGUUGUUCGUAAGGAACAAAUGUUUAAGUAACUGUGAAGAUAUUGACGGUACCGGAAGAGAAAGCCACGGCUAACUCCGUG